GUGUCAGCAGCCGCGGUAAUACGGAGGGUGCAAGCGUUAUCCGGAUUCACUGGGUUUAAAGGGUGCGUAGGUGGGCAGGUAAGUCAGUGGUGAAAUCCUGUAGCUUAACUACAGAACUGCCAUUGAUACUAUUUGUCUUGAAUACCCUGGAGGUGAGCGGAAUAUGUCAUGUAGCGGUGAAAUGCUUAGAUAUGACAUAGAACAUCUAUUGCGAAGGCAGCUCACUACGGGAAUAUUGACGCUGAGGCACGAAAGCGUGGGGAUCAAACAGGAUUAGAUACCCUGGUAGUCC
rnacentral:rRNA from 1 species